rnacentral:rRNA from 1 species
UACGUAGGGGGCAAGCGUUGUUCGGAAUUACUGGGCGUAAGGGCGCGUAGGCGGCACGGCAAGUCAGGAGUGAAAGGCCUGGGCUCAAUCGAGGAACUGCUUUUGAGACUGCCGAGCUAGAGUGCAGAAGGGGCAACUGGAAUUCCCAGUGUAGCGGUGAAAUGCGUAGAUAUUGGGAAGAACACCUGAGGCGAAGGCGGGUUGCUGGGCUGACAACUGGACGCUGAGGCGCGAAAGCUAGGGUAGCAAACGGG